rnacentral:tRNA from 1 species
GCCAGAUAAGGUGUAAUGGUUGCAUAGCCCCCUGUGACGGGAAAGGGUGAGGUUCGAAUCCUCUAUUUGGUGCCA